GACGUAGGGGGCCAGCGUUGUUCGGAAUUACUGGGCGUAAAGGGUUCGUAGGUGGCUCGCUAAGUCAGACGUGAAAUCCCUCAGCUUAACUGGGGAACCGCGUCUGAGACUGAUGAGCUCGAGUGCAGGAGAGGAACGCGGAAUUCCAGGUGUAGCGGUGAAAUGCGUAGAUAUCUGGAGGAACACCGGUGGCGAAGGCGGCGUUCUGGACUGCAACUGACACUGAGGAACGAAAGCCAGGGGAGCAAACAGG
rnacentral:rRNA from 1 species